GCGGAGCCAGGAUUAGAACCCAGAUCCUUCUGACUCCCAGGCCUUUCUUUCCACUAGGUCUCGCUGCUUCUCUUUGAGAAGUGCGUAGAAUCGGGGAGAAUGCAAGUCUCCCGCCUGAACUAGGUUAGUUACAACCUUCAGAUGGCCAGGAGACCUAGAGCUACUGGUUUAAUGGCUUUUGUUCUCGAUUUUCAGUCAUUCAGUAAGUAGUGUUUAUUGAGCGGCCACUAUGUGGCAAGUACCGUACUAAGCACUUAGAGGAAAACAAUAAAAGUUCACCGACGUGAUCUCUGGCCUCGAGGAGCUUGCACGGGGAAAGGGCCGACGACCUACUGAUUCCCUCAAGAGGAGACGAUUCGGAAGACCAUCGUGGACCACCGCACUCAAUACGAUGCCCGACACGUAAUAAGCCCUCGAAUACUCUAAGAGAGGCGAUCACGCCGAGAACCCAGGCUGGACUCCCUUGAGCGCUUCCGGCCCAGAUGCGGCCGGAGGAGGACUAGAGCGGACAGCGGCACACAAGGCCGAGGCCCCGUCGCCCCACAGAAGAGGCCAAAGCAGACCCACGGAGCCCUGGCUACAACCUCCAGGCUAAGGGAGGGCGAAAAAGAGAGGCCCCCGGGAGGAAAACCCAAAGGCCUUCUGGAACUGCAGCGAGGUCACCUUUCUCCAGUCGGCGCCUCCAGGAAAGGCACCGAGAGUUGGGGCGUUCGGGGGAUUUGUGUGGGGAAGUGGUGAGAAGUCUCCUGCGGUCUUCACGGGGGACCAAACGAGAAGAAAUGCCAUGAAAUGAGCAGCCGCGGGCAUCGAGGAUAGAGGAAAGAGGGAAUUCCCCGCCUGGGAGGGGUGGGAAGGGAGGCUGCCGAAUCGGCCUCCCGGGAGACCUUCGCGAGCAGGAGAGCGCUGAUCGUCCGGGGCGGGCCGGUCUCGGAGGGGGAUGAGGUGGCCUCUUCUGGUCUUUUGUCGUCUGAGCCUCUGGGUUUUUGGGAAAAAAAGUGUGUCUGAUUCUGAGAAAGAGCAAGAGCUUUAUCGGGGGCAGCGGGGACGAGCUGUCCAUUGGAUCAGAUCCGGAUCGGACUGAGAUAAUCCCCCAAAUCCCCAGGGGACCGACGGCCCGAAUGCUCCCUCGCUGCCCUCCUACUAUUAUCCCGCUCCUCCACCCUCAUCCCUCCUUUCCUUCCAACUCCCAUCCCUCCCUCCU